UACGUAGGGUGCAAGCGUUACUCGGAAUUACUGGGCGUAAAGCGUGCGCAGGCGGUUAUGCAAGCCAGAUGUGAAAUCCCCGGGCUCAACCUGGGAACUGCAUUUGUGACUGCAUGGCUAGAGUACGGUAGAGGGGGAUAGAAUUCCGCGUGUAGCAGUGAAAUGCGUAGAUAUGCGGAGGAACACCGAUGGCGAAGGCAAUCCCCUGGACCUGUACUGACGCUCAUGCACGAAAGCGUGGGGAGCAAACAGG
rnacentral:rRNA from 1 species